UACGAAGGGGGCGAGCGUUGUUCGGAAUUACUGGGCGUAAAGGGCGCGUAGGCGGCCGAUCAAGUCAGAUGUGAAAGUCCUGGGCUUAACCUGGGGACUGCAUUUGAUACUGAUUGGCUUGAAUGCAGGAGAGGAUAGCGGAAUUCCCAGUGUAGAGGUGAAAUUCGUAGAUAUUGGGAAGAACACCGGUGGCGAAGGCGGCUCACUGGCUCGUUUCUGACGCUCAGGCGCGACAGCGUGGGGAUCAAACAGG
rnacentral:rRNA from 1 species